rnacentral:misc_RNA from 1 species
AAGACUAUAGACCUGCGGAGUACCUGCGGAGGGAUCAUUACAGGACUCGCAAGACUCCUACAACCCUGUGAACUUCACUAUAAGCACGUUGCUUCGGCGGGUGUCGCGGCGCGGGUCUUCCCGCACCGGGGCGCUAAGCCCGCCGGCAGCCUACUAUACUCUGUUUCUCUGCGUUGGCAUCUCGAGAAAAAACAAACAAGUUAAAACUUUCAACAACGGAUCUCUAGAUCGGAAGAGCAC